GAUGAACGCUGGCGGCGUGCCUAAUACAUGCAAGUCGAGCGAACAGAUGAGGAGCUUGCUCCUCUGACGUUAGCGGCGGACGGGUGAGUAACACGUGGAUAACCUACCUAUAAGACUGGGAUAACUUCGGGAAACCGGAGCUAAUACCGGAUAAUAUAUUGAACCGCAUGGUUCAAUAGUGAAAGACGGUUUUGCUGUCACUUAUAGAUGGAUCCGCGCCGCAUUAGCUAGUUGGUAAGGUAACGGCUUACCAAGGCAACGAUGCGUAGCCGACCUGAGAGGAUGAUCGGCCACACUGGAACUGAGACACGGUCCAGACUCCUACGGGAGGCAGCAGUAGGGAAUCUUCCACAAUGGGCGAAAGCUUGACGGAGCAACGCCGCGUGAGUGAUGAAGGUCUUCGGAUCGUAAAACUCUGUUAUUAGGGAAGAACAAAUGUGUAAGUAACUAUGCACGUCUUGACGGUACCUAAUCAGAAAGCCACGGCUAACUACGUG
rnacentral:rRNA from 1 species